rnacentral:rRNA from 1 species
AUUGAACGCUGGCGGCAUGCCUUACACAUGCAAGUCGAACGGAAACAGGCCUUCGGAUGCUGACGAGUGGCGAACGGGUGAGUAAUACAUCGGAACGUGCCUAGUAGUGGGGGAUAACUACUCGAAAGAGUGGCUAAUACCGCAUGAGAUCUACGGAUGAAAGCAGGGGAUGGCAAGCCCUUGUGCUACUAGAGCGGCCGAUGGCAGAUUAGGUAGUUGGUGGGAUAAAAGCUUACCAAGCCGACGAUCUGUAGCUGGUCUGAGAGGACGAUCAGCCACACUGGGACUGAGACACGGCCCAGACUCCUACGGGAGGCAGCAGUGGGGAAUUUUGGACAAUGGGCGAAAGCCUGAUCCAGCAAUGCCGCGUGCAGGAUGAAGGCCUUCGGGUUGUAAACUGCUUUUGUACGGAACGAAAAGCCCCGGGUUAAUACCCUGGGGUCAUGACGGUACCGUAAGAAUAAGCACCGGCUAACUACGUGCCAGCCGCCGCAGUAA